rnacentral:rRNA from 1 species
CCCUACGGGGGGCAGCAGUGAGGAAUAUUGGUCAAUGGGCGAGAGCCUGAACCUGCCAAGUCGCGUGAGGGAAGACGGUCCUAUGGAUUGUAAACCUCUUUUGCCGGGGAGCAAAAAGCGGUACGUGUACCGCAUCGAGAGUACCCGGAGAAAAAGCAUCGGCUAACUCCGUGCCAGCAGCCGCGGUAAUACGGAGGAUGCGAGCGUUAUCCGGAUUUAUUGGGUUUAAAGGGUGCGCAGGCGGCGAGUUAAGUCAGCGGUAAAAUUUCGGGGGUCAAACCCGACAAGCCGUUGAAAUUGGUUUU